rfam:Candidatus Syntrophoarchaeum butanivorans isolate BOX1 BOX1_11reassembly_contig01, whole genome shotgun sequence.
GCCGCUGUGGCUUAGUGGAAGAGCGGCUGACUCGUAAUCAGCAGGUCGUGGGUUCGAAUCCCACCAGCGGCU